CAAACAUCAUCCAGCUGUUUCCUGGAAAUUACCAUAACACCCUUCCUCCAUUUUCCAGCUCUGCGUUCUGUGCUGUUCUUUUCAUCACAGUUUCACAGCACACGCUCGCUCACACUUUCUAAUUAUUUCCUUCCAAACACUAAAUUUUCAUUUUUCAUUUUUCAUUGGAGAAGAAAAAAAAGAGAGAGAGAGUUUUUAAAAAUUUUAAACUUGGAGAAUCGAAGAAGAAAGGGUUUGGUUGACCGAGUCAACCCACGCGCCGCCACCUUUAAACGCAACCACUACGGUGGAGUUUGUUACGAUGUCGUUUCACGGAGAGAUGAAGUAGUUAUCGGCGGGAUCUGA